rnacentral:rRNA from 1 species
GACGAACGCUGGCGGCGUGCCUAAUACAUGCAAGUUGAGCGAUGAAGAUUGGUGCUUGCACCAAUUUGCAGAGCAGCGAACGGGUGAGUAACGCGUGGGGAAUCUGCCUUUGAGCGGGGGACAACAUUUGGAAACGAAUGCUAAUACCGCAUAACAACUUUAAACAUAAGUUUUAAGUUUGAAAGAUGCAAUUGCAUCACUCAAAGAUGAUCCCGCGUUGUAUUAGCUAGUUGGUGAGGUAAAGGCUCACCAAGGCGAUGAUACAUAGCCGACCUGAGAGGGUGAUCGGCCACAUUGGGACUGAGACACGGCCCAAACUCCUACGGGAGGCAGCAGUAGGGAAUCUUCGGCAAGGGACGAAAGUCUGACCGAGCAACGCCGCGGGAGUGAAGAAGGUUGUCGGAUCGUAAAACUCGGUUGGUAGAGAAGAACGUUGGUGAGAGUGGAAAGCUCAUCAAGUGACGGUAACUACCCAGAAAGGGACGGCUAACUACGUG